AUCAUUUCCCUUUCCUCAUUCUUUUCCACCAUUCGCUCAUCUUUUACAAUAUCCCACACUUCAAAAUUCUAAAACUUUCGAAAUUAUUUUUUUACUCAGAAUCUUCAUAAACUUGAAGGACAAUCAAAUUGAUGUUCUAUCUUUUGUUAAUUUGUAUCAUUAAUUUCAUAUAUUGGAUGAAUUGUAAUUGACUUGGUGUUUUUUUUUUGUAAUUUAUCGGGAAAAAACUGUGGAAAUCGUGAACACCGACUCAUGUAGGUGGCAGCCAUGGUGACCACAAGUGAAGGAGUGUGCACGCCCAAUGGCCACCAGCUGGUGCUGGCAUGCGUCCAUGGCGGAUGCGAGUGAAAGAAAGAAGACGACCAUGCGGUGGACGCAAAUGGGAUUAUCAUGUUUGGACACGAGUUUGUAGAUUUUUUAAUUCAAAUAUAAUAAUUGUUUUUUUACAUUUAAUAAAUGUAUAAUAAUG
rnacentral:lncRNA from 1 species